ensembl:lncRNA
CAGAAAAAUGUCUACAUGAUGACUGAUUGAACAACACAAACACUUAGAGCUGCUUUCAGUGCUGCCUGUUUUGUUACUGCACACAUUUCUGAUGGUCCUACAGUCCAACGUAGCAAACAUCUCCCUGAAGCCUCUUCAUAGAGACCAAAGGUUGGAUCAGAGCAGCUGAAAGGACACAUCUAUGAAUGCAGUCAGAGACUUUCUCCCAACCUCACACUUCAUCUGAUCAGACCAGAAAACCAUCACAGCAGAGUCUGGACAGGACGUCACUCUGACAUGUCGACGUCCAAACAACAAGAACCGGGUGGAUCUGCAGGACAGACAGAUGAAGGAUGGAGACGUGU